rnacentral:rRNA from 1 species
UUUUAUUGAGAGUUUGAUCCUGGCUCAGGAUGAACGCUGGCGGCGUGCUUAACACAUGCAAGUCGAACGGAACUCCUGUGUUUGAGGUUUCGGCCAAGAAGAC